CACGCUAUUUUUUGCAGAGUCAAAGGCAUCCUGGCACGCCGCCAGAGCAUUGUGACUGUCAGGUUGUGUCGAAAGUGAUCGCCUUUCAAAGUGACUCUCACUGCCCCGUGCCCUUCACCUCCUUCCCUUGUUGUAACCCUAGAGCACAGAGGAGUGCCAGGUAACCACGAAUCUCUCUCUCUUAGGCGCCGUGCUGUUUAGUGACCAUGUGAGACCCGUGAUUCAGUUUCCCCUAUGGGAGACUGUGCGCGCAUUUUCCGGUCCUCGGUCAAGCGAUAUUUGGAAUAAUCGGUGGUUUUUAAUUCGACCGCCAUUGCUUGCCACAAUGCAAAUUGAUAUGUAUGAACUUUGGCAAAAUGACGUUUAACGGGCAUGCCACGGUUUAAAAUGAGCUUUCUUACCUCAGUCUGUUAUUUGUUUUGAUCACGGAUUCGUAGGCAUCUCCUCUUUAGGGCUGGCUCCAUGUCACCAGAACUGGGUGUAUUAGCGGAGCCUCGCAAGCCACCCUUGUCCCUGAGUUUAGGCAAGAGCAGCGGAGUUGGACUCCCGCCUGUCUUUGGUGCGGUGGGUAGGGCGUAGGCAUGGUCCUCAUCUGGGAAAUGGGGGUCUUCUCCAGCAUUCGUAACUGAACAUUCUUCUAACUGACUGAUUGGACCCUCAACUCGUGCAGGGUUGACAACAGAGCACUUAUUUUCUUUUAUAGAUUCCUGCUCAGUCAGUGCAGGAUCUGUUGGGGGUGCUGGUACUCUUUGGGGUAAGAGUGUGUCUAAACUUGCGGUGGAUUGUACAGAGGACAUCCCAUUUGGACCUUGGCUCUGAGAUUUUAGGACAGAAGACAUGCCAUCAUAUGGGUGGAUGUUAACUGUAGGGCUUGGUGGAGGUGACACAUGAGAGUCCUUAUUUUGGAUUACGGUGUCAUGUGAAGGAGAUUGAGGGGGUCGAAUGAUGUCAUGGAACCCUGACUUGAUACUCUGAACAGUAUGUGACUCCUCUAACCCCGAGAAGUCCUGUAAUCCCCUGGAAUGAGGUUCCAGCUUCACUUGGGUUCUUUGUAGUACCCUUUGUAUAACUUGUCGUUCUGACUGUUGCUGUUGUUGUUUGUAGUCUAUCAGUCCUUCCGAGCUGCGCGUUGAGCAGGGGGAGGCGUUGUACUGCGCUCUGGGGGACGAUGUCCCACUGUGACAUGUGGAUGUUGGGGAUGGGAAUGGCCUUUCUGAUUUAACCCAACUCAGGUCCAUAAAAUUGGAGUCACCGUGUGACAAGUUUCCACCCACUUUGUGGUGUAACGAGUGGGCGUUCCCUUCGGAUACUCCAGGAGAUGGAACCCUGAAAGGUAUGGAUCGACACCUCUCUGUUCCAUCUGGGACAGGCUGUAUAACGCCGCUGUGAUUUGGGGUUUCAUGAUUAGUUUUGGGAGGCAUAGGAACAGGGAUUGGAAUGGGUAUUGGGAUCGGUAGAGGAACAAUAAUGGGGUAAGGAACCAGGACAGUGGGUUGUGGAAGGAGUGGACUAAAUGAGGGGAUGCCAAAGUUCAUAAAGGGAGGCAUUGGGACAGGGCCUCUGGGCAACAUGUUCACCGGAGGGGAGUGGAAGCCCGGGAAAUAGGGUCGAGGGAAGGGAUGCAUCAGUCCUGGUGGGUUCAUGGAGGUGGAGGUGGGAGGCUGAAGGUGAGGAGAAUGUGGAGGUCUGUGAAUUGGGCUUGAAGAGGGGCCUGGUUGUCUUGAAUGGUGGGCAAAGGGGCUUCUGAGACCCUGGGCAUGAAGAGGAGGUCUGAUAAAGGGCAUUGGCAUUUGAGGAAUCGGCUGAUGAUCCAAAGGGUGGUGUGGAUGUGGAGAUGGGAUGAAAGUAGGGUGAGGCGACACUGCUACAGCUUGAGGAAGUGGUUGGAUGGGCCUGUCCACAGUCCUUUGGCCAGAGACUGGAGGCUUAGAUGAAGACGAUAAUGACUCUGAUGGGGAGAUGGAGGAUGAUUCUGACUCCGGAGUUAGAAGCUUUUGUCCGGCAAUACUGGCGUCCGACCGCCCCUCCGAGCUAGCUCUAGCCGGGCUGGAACAGGUAAGAGCGGCGCGGGCUUCUCUGUAAAAAACAUCCAUCUUGUACUGAUUGAGACAUUUUGUGCUGCAGAACUGGAGUCGCUCUUCGCCGGAUCCGAAAUCCAGGUAUUCUUUGGUACACAGGCCGAGAGUGGAGUCGGCUGUCUUGGUUGCUUUGUUGGGUCUGCUCCUGUCUCUGGCCAUCCUCCCUCCACCCCAGCGGACGAUGGUGUGGAACACCGCAGAGGCCACCACAGUGGAUAUGUUUCUUUUACUUUUUAUUCAUAGCUGUAUGUAGAAGUGUCUGGUUGUAUCUGCUGCUUUAAUGUCUUUAAUGUCCUCUGUGUUCUUUGAUGUUUGAUGUUUCCCUCUUACAUGUGUACCAUGGCUAUGAGUUGUUGUUUUUUCCCCUUGGCCUCAGUCUGCACCCCCACUCCAGGGCCCAGGCUAAGACCGAUUUUUUUACAUUUUAUUUUAAUCUUCUAUUCUUUUCUUCCCCCCCCCCCCCCCCCCCCGUUUACCUGUAUGUCAUCUUUUUUGUAAGGGGCGCUGGAAGCCGGCAGACCAGUCAGCGAUCCUGUUCUGUCUCCCUGUAAUGUUUGUCUGAUCUUGAAUGGGAUUGUGCUGAAAAUUGUAAUUUUCCUGACGGAAUAAAUAAAGUACUAUCUAAUCUAAUCUAAUCUAAGGUCAGGGGUGUCAAACUCAAAUACAGAGUGGGCCAACAUUUAAAACUGAACAAAGCCGCGGGCCGAGGUUGAACAAAUUAACCUUUUAAUAGGGACCCAAACAAGUUUUGCAAUGAAUAUUGAACAAGCAAGGCUUAAAUAAGGCAGCACGGUGGCACAGGCGUGCUGCCCUACAGUGCAUCUGCCUCACAAUACGAAGGUCCUGAGUAAUCCUGGGUUCAACCCCGGGCUCGGGAUCUUUCUGUGUGGAGUUUGCAUGUUCUCCCCGUGACUGCGUGGGUUUCCUCCGGGUACUCCGGCUUCCUCCCAUGGAACAGGCAGAGCUUAUAUAACGUAAUCGUGCAAAAUCAACUUUAAAAAAACAGACAAAAAAACAUCAGUGGUAUAUUAAAUAGGAUUUAAUUAAAACAAUGAAUGUCUCUUUUCUAUUUCUAUUUCUAUUUACAGCCUUCCGAGGUAAAUAUCAACAUUAACUUUUUCCACAGGCUAACAAAUCCGAAAAUAAAAUAAAAAUGAGGUGGGCGGGGUUUGGUGGUACUGGGGGGUGUAUAUUAUAGCGUUCCGGUAGAGUUAGUGCUGCAAGGGGUUCUGGGUAUUUGUUCUGUUGUGUUACGGUGCGAGUGUUCUCCCGAAAUGUGUUUUGUCAUUGUUGUUUGGGCUGGGUUCACAGUGUGGCGCAUAUUUGUAACAAAGUUGUUUAUACGGCCACCCUCAGUGUGACCUGUAUGACUGUUGGCCAUGUAUGUGUGUGUGAAAGCCGCAUAUAUUAUGUGACUUGGCCAGCAUGCUUUUUAUAUGGAGGAAAAGAGGACGGGACGACAUGUUGUAGAGGACGCUAAAGGCAUUGCCUUUAAGGCACGCUCCCAAUAUUGUUGUACGGGUGGAAAUCGGGAGAAUGGUUGCCCAGGGAGAUUUUCGGGAAGGGGCCCUAAACUUCGGGAGUCUCCCGGGAAAAUCGGGAGGGUUGGCAAGUAUGAGUAUUAGCGGUGAACGUGGUGUUACCGGCGGGCCAGCUCUAAUGUUAAUUUGAUAUUGCCUCUAGGACCAAAUGAAAUUAAACGGCGGGCCAGAGUUUGACACCCAUGAUCUAGGUUUUGUCAUUAAAGACUUUUUGCAAAAAAAUAAAACAGUUUUAUCUUUUAACAACUUUAAUUGUGUGUUGUUCGGGUCUGUGGUACCCGUUUUCAUUUCAUUUCUUUCUUUGUUUUCUCCUAGCUUUUUGUUUUCUUGUUAGCCAUUAGCUGUUUCCAGUUUUUCUGUUUCCUGCUAGAUAUCUGGUAGCUUCCACGCUAGGCCUUUUGUUUGUUAUCCGCCCACGUGCGCGCUUUUAAUUUGAACCCUUUGUUUGGUUUUGUUCUAGUUUUUUAUAUUAAAACUGUGUUUUCUCACUCCAUACCUGCCUCCAUCUCUGCAUCUUGGGGUUCGUCAACAACAAACUUUGUCAAUAAAGACCUAUC